ensembl:lncRNA
GUCUGUCUUCAUAAGUGUGACAGAUUUGAUUAAGCUCUUUGAGAGAGACUGAUGUAAAAAUUCAGACAAAAUCAGACCUUUCUGCCAAUUUACAGUAUCACAUUGACAAUUCAUUCCAGGCUCAUCAAAGUUCAGUAAUGCAUGUGGAAAGAAUAAGUUUCCUGCACAGGAACAAGAAGUUGAUGAACAGGAAUGUAUAUGCUGCUUCCACACAUAAGCCUCAGCACAAAAUUAAAGAUAAAAGAGCAUUGAGAUGGCUAGAUGAUCACUUGGCCCUGGAAAUUUGACGUAUGAAGAGAACACUAGUGUGAAGCCAUACAAACAGUGGGCAAAGCUGACAGAGAGGCUGGGGUGGCAGAACUGAAGUUGGCGGUACUGCUGCCAGGUGCACGGCACACGUGCUGGAAAAGGAAAGCCCGGUAUGCUGGAAAGGAGCAGCUGAGGUGGUAACUGUAGUGCUUUGGACAAGCAGUCAUCUCUCGUUGUGGAGACUGCCGUGGCUUGGCACUGGAAGGAAGGAAGGUCUUGUUGGCACCAGGUGGGGACACCGAGACACAGGGCUGCAGCAUGAUUAGCCCCAUGUUUUUCAGCAAAGCAUGAGGACAGCAUGUGGCUGCACCAGUAGUGAGGACCUUCUGGUCUCUUCUUUGCUACCAUCUUGCAACCCUUCCCAAAGCGUGCUGCAGGCCCAGCUCCAAUGCUUCAUCAAGAUCCAGGAACUCCCAGAGCUGCCCACGGUCAUGUCACACAGGUUAACACAGGCUUUCAUGGCCUUGCUGCAAUGAGCAGGACUGAAGUGGAAAGUGAUGAGCCUGCUGAGGUCGUCUGGAUGCAGUGAUGUGAAGAGGCAGUAGUUUUCCAGGCUGAUAUUCAGUCUGGAGCCGUAGCACUGAUGCUCCAAGACUGUCACUUCUUUGUGAAACUAUGACUGCUAAAAAGAAACAUUUAUUUUCUUCAUUUGCAAGGCUGUGAAAACACACUCACCUUCCUGCGGACGUGUGCGGAGCAGAGGUGUCAGCUCACCCCAUGCAGCCUGAUGUGGACUACGUCAGUGUGGUCACCCACCCCCUGGAUGAGGUAGUCCUGGCUCCUUCGGGUCAGGCCUCGCAGUACAAAGGCUGCAGAGCUGCAGAAAGGGAGAAGACAAGGAGGGCUGCGCCUAGCCUUUAUCUCUUGCAUGCUUUGGCCCCAUGAAGAACUCCAGCAUGUCUGCCUGGUGAACAACGGGUUGAAUGCCUGGUGAUGUCCAGUGAGUCAGGAACAACCCACAUUGAGGUUAGACAUCAACACAGAGCAAGACACCUUCUCCAGCUCUGCAAGAACCGGGAAUUGAGUUGGGGGAAUCUCUCUUUCACCUGUCUGCCAAAAUCCCCUUGUUAAAAUAAGUAUCACCCUACGUCAAAUAUGUCAAAUAAAUGCUUGCCUAUUAAGGCAAGCUUGCAACGCUAUUUAAAACAGAAGUGGCAAAACAUUAAAACUGAAAGUAACAGCAUGCUCCCCUCAAAUCAGCAUUGUUGGCUGUUUGCUUCUGAGCUGUGGGCCCCUGUGCAGCACUGGCUGCAUGGAUUAUCCGGGUGGGAACAGGUGGGAGUUUUAGAGCAACAGGGCCAUGUGUGCUGUGCUAGCACUUGGUAUAGGUAUGGACUGUCUUGAAGGGCUUGGGAAGACAUGUCCAUCCAGCCACUGAGCAUGGAGAAAGAGGAGUGAGAAAGCAUGGGGUUCCCAGGUGACACCAGUUAGCCAGCUUGAGCUGUGAAUACAUGCAGUAACUGGUCUGCUGACAAGGCACAUACCACAUUUCGCUCACAGCACGCUUAUGCAGCAGUUGCAAGUAGCAAACCAGUGUAGCCAAUACUUAGUUGCUCCUUCACAGACAGAAGGAAGGGAAGCUUAAAUUCCUUAAUAAUUUAUCAUAAAUAUUGCACUCUGCCCUUGCACAGUGCAGAGUAAACUUGCUUGUAAUUCAUGCUGGUGUCAGUUCUGUGUCUCAACUUCAUUGUAAACUUACAUUGGAAAUCCUUUCCUUGAACCGAUUCCAGGUUUAUUAUGCAUUAGUAACAGACAUCUACACUAACACUGAGUGAGCUUAUAGUGAUUUGCUAUACCAGAUUUUAGAAACCUGUCAUGAGACCACAAUUUGCUAGUGUUAUCUCAACACCUUGUGCAGAGAUGCAAGGACUGUUUGGUGACAUAUCAUCCUUGACACAUGACACAUAGAGUGCAUGCUUCAAUCAACACGCCGUGCCUCUGGGCAGUGUGGUGCUGCAGCCUCUGCAGGGGAAUGCCACUGCCUGUGAAACCUCCUCCCUUGCAACUAGUGGUGAUGGCAGUGCUGUGGGGACUGCAGGAAGCAAGGAACCUAACCUAAAUACCCCAAAAUACAAAAAGUUUUCUGUGAGAUUGUUGAUGCUUUAUUGUUUGCAGACACGUCUAAGCAAACCAGAAUGUGCUGCUGUUUUAAUUAUUUAUUCUGCAAGUGGUUUGAGGAAUACUAAUCGUAGUAGCUCUACUGGGACUAGGACCAGGAUAAGCUCAUUAUAAUUUGCUUCAUUUCAUCUUAAUUCUGCAGUAACUCACCCUGUUUACUUGAAUUCUGGUUGUCCUGAUUACCUUGAGCGUGGUAUGCCCAUGUCGUACUUCAAAAUAAGCGGAGGUGAUGAGCAAAUACCAACACAGUGAUGUUACAAUCCCUAAAAUUAUGUUAGAUGUGAAAAAAAAAACCCAACAAAAAAGAUAGAUUAUUAUUAUUUGUCUCUAAGUAGUGGGGUCAGGACGUGUUUUCCUAAGCAGUAGCUCAACCUGGUUUUGCUGCAAGCAGAAUCUGGCCUUCGCUGUCCAUUGGCAAAGAAACGUUUCAUCUCUGCCCCACAUUGACAUCUGUCUUGCAGGAGUAAGGAGACAUUAACAUACUGGUCAUCAGCUGAGCAGAAGAUACUGAUGGAGAUGCUUCUUUAUGCAAGCAAGACGGCAAGCUCCCUUCCAUUCUAUUGAGAAGAUAAUGCAUGAUAGCGAUGUGAAUGUGUUGCUGUCAUGAGCUAAGUGCUGACUUUUGUCCAUACCAAUGGUAACGAAGGGUUACAGAAAUGCUGAAACUCAAAAAUAUAAACACAAAUAUCAGACCUCCAGCCCUCCCAUAGGGCAUUUCUAAUUGUCAAGUGAAGGGAUGGGAAUUGCUGUGAUAAAUGUCAUGUAUCUUAUGGGUUGUUACACAACAGUGGGGGGGGAAGAGGGAAGGUGCAGAAAGGAGAAAGCUGGAACUACUCAUACGUACUUGGUAAAAAUAACAUGCCGUUUGAUUAGAAGUGUGUUUUAAACAUAUUAUUUGAAUAUGUAAGGAGUUAUGUUGGUCCUGAAAGUACCUGAUGACUAUCAUGCUGCUACGAAGGCAUUGUACCCACCAAUGCUUGGCCUCUGUGACAUUACCAUUGGGUUGAAUGACAAGCAGGGCAAGACCAGGUGGGCAGGAUGGGACUAACCAUGCUCAGGGAGCUAUAACUCCACAGAAUGAUCAUGCAGUGUUCUUACAUAUGAUGGAUGUGGUAAAUGACAGCAGUUUUGUUAACACUGCGCUCUACUGCAUAUCUGGCACAAGAGUUAACAUGGGCUAGCACCAAAAUUUGCAGUGUCAUGGGUGGUGAGUAUGCACCCUUCAAAGCCUCCUGUACUGUGGGAACUUUCAAUGGUUUAACCUAAAACAAGUGUCAUGCUGAGAAAAACUCUGUGCAAGCACUUGGUUUCAGUUUAAACACCAUUUAUUUUGAAGUCACCUCUGGGGGUGGAAAGGUGCUUUUUGUUGUUUGGUUUUUUUGUUGUUGUUGUUGUUUUUAACCAAAAUGAGUGAAACCAAAUGAAAGGUGUCUGCCUACAAGCAAUGCACUGGAGUAAUUAUGGUCCCUGCACUGACACUCAAGCAAAUAUUUCUGAGGCAGUUUCUGAAUUUUGCAAACCAUCUGUCUGCCUUUACCUCUGCCAGCACCACAGAGAUGGGGCACCUCAGCCUAAGAGCAGUCAGGGCAGCUAUGGGUGCUGCUGCACCAAAUCUCCAUAGCCAGUCAUUGGGCCACUUGUGAGUGUAGAAACAGCAUUUUCUGUCCAUCUGUCCAUGUGGUCGGAGGUGAGUCCUAGACAUACUGUGACAUAACAGCAUGUUCUUCCUCUAGGGCAAGAGCUGCAGCUGAAUUCAUCAGUAGGAAUGGGAUGUGAGGGACUUCCCCAGGUGGACUGCACUGGGGAUUCACUUCCAAGUGGGAUACCACAUUGGGUGCUAACGAUGCCAUUGACACCUACUCCCGCUCUAACCUGAUCACCUCUGGUCGGGUCCAGCUGGCCCUUUGAAGAUAUCUCCUCACCCAGUGUUAACCCCAGCUUGUUUUUCUCCCUGCUUCUUGGUUCACCAGUGGUGGCACAAGCCAGAGCUCCUGGCUGGGUCUCUGCAGGGCACACUGGUUUGAGGAGGAACAGAAGAGAGCUCUGGGACAUCUGGUACUUUAGACUGAGGAAGAGCACUCAUUUGGAUGGAGGGUUUGGUGCUGUAAAGCAGGUGAACUGGCUAAGCUUCUUCUGGAAGGUGCUGGGCUGCCAGGAGCUCCCCAGAGCAGGGGCAAGAAAGAUGUCCCUCAGCGGGUACUGGGGUAUCAUCAUGCAAACAGCUGGCUAGGUGAGUUAGAGAAGGUAUCUCAUCUCUUACCUAUUUCUCACUGGAAGCAGAAAGUGCAGAAGCCAAGUCUGUAAUUUCCCAGAUGGAUAUGUCUUCUAUAGGACCUCUUUCUUCCAUGAAAAGGAGGAGAUGCCUCCAGAUAUCCUCUGACACAUACAACUACUUUGUACCAGACAAAGUAAUUGGCUGGAGUCAACCUGGGCCCUCAGUAAAACAAGUGUGGGUUCGGGAAGUCAAAAGAGUUUGAGAGCUCCUGCCUCUGUCCUAUGGCAUUCCUGUGGUGGAAAAUCCCACAGUGAGGGGAGCUGUGGGCAGGAAAGUGGAGCACAGCCAUCCUGCUGCUUUCUGAAGGCAUCUAUCAGGUUGUGCAGGCAUAGCCAGGUCUCUAGCAUCCCUGUCUCUGCUCUUAGGUGUCAAUUUCUAUCAGACACUGGAAAUCCUGAGUAUAUUUCCAAGAAGAUGGGCAGAGUCAUUUGAUUGACCAUUGCGCUGGUCACACAGAAGAGAAGAAUGACCAUUCUUGCUCACAGGCUUAAAACCCACCUGCAUUCAUAUCUCCUCUUCGCGCUGCAAACAGCAAAGCAGAGAUGGUAACAGCCACUAAAGGAGGAAGGGCCAUGUACAGAGAUGUUCACUUACCUCCAAAGGUCUUUACUCUCUUGGUCAAAGGCCCUGACUGCCUAUCUUCAGUUUGGGUAUCUUUAAAUUUAAUCUGUCCAUAUUCCUUUUGCAUAGCUCUUGGAUGAAAAGGUUUGGCUCUGUAAAACAAUAUUGCCAAGCUGCUACAUGAGGAAUGAGCCACACAUAGAAGGUAUGUAAGUACGUGCUUGUGAAAAAGCCAACAAACUCUUCCCUCGUAUGUGAUGAUGCCUUUUCCAUGUCUAGUGUUGUCUUAGCUUCAUUUUCAUUACUUCACACAUAAAAACAGAAGUUAAAGGAUGUGCAAAAUGUCACACAGUGAAGUAAAAUUAUUGGCUGAUCUAAGAACUUCCACCCCAACCAGAAGUCUUAUCUUCCAAGCUUUGAAUCUGUGUCAGAACCAAUUAUUUUAAUGUAGAUUUUUUAAAUAUAUAUGGUAGCAUCUUAAGGCUUUGUCAAUAUAUUUAAAGUUGUUCUACAAUAUAUACAGUAAUUGCUUUUCUAUGAGGACCGAGAUACAUGAAAGAUUCAAAAGAUAGAGGACUUUUCAUUGAUGGCAACUUUUAAAAAAAUAAAAGUUGGAUUAUUACAUGAAGGAGAUAAAAGGCCAUGAAAUAGAUAUUAAGGCCAUGAAGUAGAUAUUUUUACUCUAGCAUAAGAGAGGAUUUUUAGCUUCUAAAUAUGCAGAGACACUAUAUCAACUAUCACAAAUGUGUGCCGGUGAUGCAUCCAACAACACUUAAUUAUCAGUUCUACAGGAAAAUUAGGUGAGAAAAUUACUUGUCUUUUUGUAUUUAUUUUAGUUAUAAAAACCCAAAGAUGAUGACAAUUCUCUCACUACAGCAUGUUAGACAUAGAUGGCUUGCCUGUCUUAUUUUUCCCCCUUGGUGAUGCAGAUUGAUAAUUCCUGCAGUGGGCUCAGUUUAAUUUGUUACUUUUUACAAAUGCAUAUUGUGCAGUUUUAAAGACAGCUGUCUUCAAAAUGGGUAGACAUUAAGCAGUUUCAUUUUUUGUGGUGUCUUAGAUCAGAAAUGUUUGAGAUGGAAGAAACUGAUCUGGUCCACUGCCUCGACCUUCUUUGCAAUGUGAGAUUCAUACUUAUGGGUCGGUAUUUGUAUGUCCUUCUUGCUUUCCUCCUCUAGAAAUUAAUUAGGGCAUUAAACAAUAUCAAAACAUGAAAAUGUUUGCAGAUGGACAGAUAGGAGCUAAAAGAUACUGAAAGUUCUUGUGCUACCAAACACAGCACAGGGAACAACUGAAGUAGCCACAGCUGAUGAAAGCAAUGUUUUUCAAAUGCUGUCCUAUGCUCAAAUAAGGUAUCUGAGAGAGCAACAACAGCUACCAUGGUGUGUGUCUCAUUUCCCUCACCCUGGGGCAUCCCGGGCAUAGCAAUGCUGCAUGGAGAAGAAAAGAAAAAAAAAGAGAGAGAGAGAGAAGGAAGGCUGAGAAGUAAGAAGAAAAAUCAGUCUUUGAAUGUGAAGAUAAAAAAUAAGCCACCAGGAACUAAACUGGUUUUAAUUUUGUCUCUGAUACUGUAGGGUUCUGGCAUGCAUCUGUCAACAUGGCUGACGUAGCUACACAGGAAUAUGGUGGGAAAAGUCUUGGCUAGAAAAAUCUUACUGCACACAUAUGAUGAAAGAGAAGGGAAAGGCAAUGUUGGAAGAGAACGACUUGUUCCCAGCAGUCAGCAAAGUCUCCAGCCAUAUUACAGCGGUGGCAGCUGCCUCUUCCCCAGUGGUAAGGGGGAGUGCCCCUGAGAGCAUGGCAUUACAAGGAGAACAGAUCUCAUGUGAUGUCCUUUGGAGGGCAGAUUUGGUUGUCCCUCAUGUAAAAUACAAACAGCAAUGGAUAAGCAAGAGCAUGGCGUUCACAGGGAGGAAGCUGAAGUAGUUGGUAUAGCAAUUAGAAGGAACAUGUUAAAUUGCUCUUGAUUUCCAUCAGGUGCCAACCCAUUAAGAGAAUAUCUGGUGAAUUAAGACUGGAAAAGGUGAGAAAGAGGGAGAGGGGAAAAUCUGGCUGGGGAGGAAGCAGAAGGAAACCAAGCAUAGCCUGCCUCAGCGGUCUCCUUCCCAUCAGUCUUCCAGGCAGUUGGGCAGGCUUGCUCAUGUGCCAGGCUGCUAUUCCUCGUGGGGACACCUGGUAUCCCACCCAGCCGUAGGGUCAUUUCCAGCUAGACUCCUUCCCCUGGCUCAGGGACAUACUGGGCCACGUGCAACACACUGAGACUUUAGUAAGUGCUCUGUGUAGCACUGGUGCAGGUGGGCAAAGCAAUGGCAUGGGAACACCAGUGCACACAUCUGCUUCUGCUAUAGCAGUGAGCUGCUGCUUCCCGUGCCACAUCCCAGUAUGUGGAGAAGACUGUGGAAGGAAAGGGAUUGGUGCAUAGUGAGCAGCCAGGAAAGGCAGGUGUGAGAUACAGCAGGUAACUUCAGGUGCAGAUACGUUCAUUUUUUUUUUUUUUUUCUUGAUAAUUUGAUAAUAAACAUGCGAGCUGGAUUUGGUAUUGCCACUAGUGCUGGCACAUCCAGCCAAUUUCUGUAUUUUCUAGGAGUGUGCAUGCCAUUACAGCCAAGGAAAUCGUGCUCUCCUGGGACUCGGAUUGAGCAGUGUCUAAUAAAAGGCCUGAUGAAGAGAAACUUCUGCAAGAUUUAUUUUCCCCUGGGAAAUUAACCAUUGUAUACCACAGCACACAUGGCAUAUGGCUGCCUGUCCAUGGGAGCACUGCAUCCAACUUCUGAUUCAGCAAAAUACUGGAAGUGGUGUUGUGAUAAAUAGGGCUUAAACAGAGGUAUGAAGUUUGACAUGGCCUUAACAGGCCAUUUCGGCAUUGAUAAAUGUAAAACACAAAGAUUUAUAUUGUGACUCAGAGCUGGAUUUUUCUCAUACAAGCAAUGGAUUAAAAGUUAUCAGUUACCGAGUCUGAUUGCCAGACUAAUUCAAUUUAUUUUAUGUGUAUAUUAUGCUAUCUCUUCGCCUUCUGAAUGUUAUGUGAAAAUAAGAAAAGGUAGGCAUAGAAUAGAAUCACAGAAUGGGUUGGGGACCUUGAAGUCCACCUGGUUCCAACCCCAUUGCUAUGGACAGCGUUGCCUCCCACUUCAUCAUGCUUAGGGCCCCAUCCAGCCUGGCCUUGAACUCAUCCAGGGAUGGAACAUCCAUAGCUUCUCAGAGCAACCUGUUGCAGUACCUCACCACUCUUAGAGUAAACAAUUUCUCCCUAACAUCUAACCCAAAUCUCUCCUCUUUCAUUAUAAACCCAUUUCCCCUUGUCCUAUCGUUAUCGGACCAUGUAAAAAAUUGGUCCCGCUCCUGAUUAUAAGUUCCCGUCGAGUAAUGAAAGGCUGCAAUGAGGUCUCCCCAAAGCCUUCUCUUCUCCAGUUUGAAUAAGUCCAAUUCCCUCAGCCUGUCUUCACAGGAGAGGUGCUCCAGCUCUCUGAUCAUCUCAGUGGCCCUCCUCUGGACCUGUUCCAACAGCUCCAUGCCUUUCUGUGCGGAGGGCCCCAGGUCUGGAUGCAGUACUGCAGAUGGGACCUCACAAGGGCUGAGCAGAGAGAGACAAUCACCUCUCUCACCCUGCUGGCCACCCCUCUUUUGAUGAAGCCCAGGAUACUGUUGGCUUUCUGGGCUAAAAGCACACAUUGCUGGCACAUUCCCAGCUUUUCAUCACUGGGAACCCAAGGUCCUUCUCCCAAUCUGCAUUCAUAUCUGGGAUUGUCCUGAUCCAAGUGCAGCACCAUGUACUUGGCCUUGUAGUACAUCAUAAAAUAACAUAUAAUCCACAUAGUGCAUAGAGUAUUCUGUCUAUUUUAUUUAUUAUUGCUGUUAUUACUAUAUUCUGCUCUGGCCACUGGAGACAAUAGGCAUAUAUUUUGCAGUGGACAGUUAAGGGUUGUCAAAUAAUUGGAUGGACUUUUUUCAUGUCUAAUCAUUUACAGAUUUGUUUAUACUCUAAUGUUCAAGUGUUCCUGUCCUGAUAUAUCUUGUCUAGGAAAGAAAGCACUCACACCAGCCACCACCACGUAAGUGUAAGUUCUUUUCUCAAGUUAAUGAUAUGUUGUAGCAGAAAUCCUAGAGCAAGAUUUAAACUUCUACUAAACAAGUCCCCUUGGUAGUUUUACAUGAUUUGCAAAAAUCAUUUAAAACUGAACAAAACAAGCCUGAAGUGAUACAUCAUUUUUCUAAAUACUGUUGUUUCUAGAAUGCAGGUGUUCUGUUGGGUGUUGUUCUCAGACACCGUGUUUCUUUUGGAGGUUCAGAAACUGAUGUGCAAAUACCCAAUCCCCUUUUGUAUUAACCUCACUAAGGUCAGUAAGCAUUUUGCUUUAAACAGCAAUGCUCCAAAAUGGGGGAGUUGAAAGUCUGGUUUGCUUAUCUCUUUUAGAACUUGAGGAUCCCUAUUACCUUGUGAAAAAACAGAAUGUAAAUCCAUCUUAUCAGUAGCUAUUGCACCCUCUGAAGUAGUGUGGUUAGUGUUCAUUUAUAUUCUGUCCCCAUUUUCCACCAAAUUCAAACACAGUCUCCUAAAUUCACAUACGCAUGCUAGUUUCCAGUAUUUGCAAUAAUUUUCUUUUUCUUCUAAGGACUUAUUUUUUCUUCUGCACAGAAAACUUUGCAGAGCCACCUCAGUGAAUGUGGGGGACGAAGUGCUGAGGUCCUGCUCCCUGUGGGGUCAACCAUCACCAACAUCCUCUUUGGUGCCAAACAAAAGGAGGAAUCGCAGGAUGAGAAUUUUGGCAAGAUGGAGAGCAGAUCUCUGGAAGGGUGCAAAUGACACUGCAAGACUAGAAGAUCUGAGCCCUAUGAAGCUGAGCAAGUGUAACCGCAAUGCCUCACUGGGGCUGUUUGGCUCUGGCCUAAGAGUUGGAAGAGCUGUAUCUUUGUUUUGAAGAGAAAAAACAAGCUUUGGAAAUGAUGCUUUGUGCCCAUGCAGCAAGCUGUGCUGUGGGCUCCCCGCUCUGCAAAGCACUGCAGCCUCCUUCCCCUGGGCCAGGGCAUGAGGCAGAGGGAAAUGAUGCUGUGCCUACCGCUGUAGUAUCACCAGCUCAGACCUGAAGCUGUCCAUAUACCAUAAGAUUCAAGCUUGUCCAAGCACAGAGUUUUGUGUCUUGGUUUCUUCCCCUUGACAAAAAUGGAGGACUGAAGCAGAGAUGGGAUUGUACUGGAUGCACCACUGACAGGGCUGGAGUGCUGAUCAUACCAUAUUGCAGAAAUGCAAGACGUUCUUGGUUAAUCUGGGAAAGACUCACCGAAUCCAAGCAAAACAGCAAAUGAUUCUGCUGAAAGCAAGGGAAGAGUAAGCUAAGUGUGAGCAGCAAGGUCUGGUUUGGCUAAGUCUUUGACACACAACAAAGAUCUGUGCCCACACCUGGUGCCCUAGGCUGACUAAACUGGUGACAACCACUAAUACCUCUAAUCUGGCUUGUCUGCAUGCAAGUCAUGAGAUUCUUUCAGCCACUACAUUGUCAAGCCCAGUUUCUCAUUGAACAAGAGCAUCAAAUCUGAAGAUAAAGUGACAAAAAGACAAGUAAGCCAAUCUUCUAAUAAAGUGCUUGGAUGAAUUGCUACUUUAGGCAAGAACUGGUCAGCAUUAGCUUCUUUGGGACUUUGUUUUUGGGAGAAAAGCAAACAGAACAGCCCAACUCCUCCCCAACUCUAAUUUCCUCAUUGAAGAGCAUGAAGUUGGUUCUUAUUUAGCAAAUUAAAUAUAGGACCCAUUUCUUUCAGUAGUGCCUCAUUUAUUUGCCAUGUGCAAGCAUACUGAUAAUAUAUAUAUAGAAACUUUCUGCUCAAUUGCAAGUUACUGUGGAAGCUGAGGGAGGUAAAUACUCAGCCCCUUCAAGACUUUUGUUGUCUAAAAAUAGCAGUAGAGAAUAGUAAGGUGCGUAGAGUACUACUUUUCCCUAGAAUUCCUUCUUCUUUUACAUCUUUUGAAUGAUGUGGCUGUAAGGCUAAGAACAUAAUCUAUAGAAAAACUGGAACACAUGUAUAGGUAGUGAUGCCAACGUGAAAAAGCCACCUUCUUUUCCCUGCACUUGUUGCUGACACUGCUGUUUCUGAAUGGCACACCAGUAGGCAGGACUUUGCACGCCAUGGAUGUAAUGCUGCCUCUGAGACUCUGAAUGGAGCAGAAGUUCCUGAGGAUCAUUCUUCUCAUGGUAAGACGACACUGUCCUCCUAACUUAACAUGAGCCAACAGUGUGCGCUUGCAUCCUGAAAGGCCAACUGUAUCCUGGGCUGCAUCAAAAGAGGGGUGCCCAGCAGGGCAAGGGAAGUGAUGGUCCCCCUGUACCCUCAUGAGGUCCCAUCUGGAGUACUGUGUCCAGACCUGGGGCCCUUGGCACAAGAAAUACAUGGAGCUGCUGGAGCAGAUCCAGGGGAGGGUCACAAAGAUGAUCAGAGAGCCAAAGCACCUUUUCUAUGAAGAAGGGCUGAGGGAGUUGGACUUGUUCAGACUGGAGAAGAGAAGGCUCUGGGGAGACCUCAUUAUGGCUUUCCACUACUUGAAGGGAAUUUAUAGUCAGGAGGGAAAUUGACUUUUUCCACAGGCUGAUAGUGAUAGAACAAAGGUGAAUGGCUUUAAACUAAAAGAGGGGAGACUUAGAUUAGAUAAUAGAAAUAAAAUUUUGCUCAGAGGGUGGUGUGGUCCUGGCACAGGCUGCCUAGAGAAGCUGUAGAUACCCCAUCCCUGGAGUCAUUUAAGGCCAGAUUGAAUGGAGACCUGGGAAUUGUGAUAUAGUGGGUGGCAGUGGCCCAUGGCAGUGGGUUGGAACUAGAGGGUUUACAUGGACACUCCCAACUCCAAGCCAUUGUAUGUUUUUAUGAUUCUGAGUGCGUGGACAUGGCUGCAUGACCUUGGUGCACAGCAGCCCACUGCUGAGGGACAGACAGCUGAAGGAACCUUCUUUGGUGCACUGGGAGCAGGAGGAACAGCAGCCACACGUGGAUGCAGCAUCUGAUUUAUCCUGCAUUGCAGAUGGGAGACCUGAUUCCCACAGCAUGGUGGCACUGCGUCAGGACAGAGGAGUCCUGGCACUGAUUUCAGUCAGGAGGAGAGCAAAACGUGACAUGGUGGCAGGUGGGGCACAGAGUACGGCAGCAUCUCUGAAGACCAGUGGACUCCUCCUGCCCUAUUGCCCAUAGGACCGAGAGGUGCAGCACUCUGCCCUGCCUUCCUGUCUGUUUCCUGCAAGGCUGCUUCAGCUAGCAGAAAAAAUCAUCAUUUGAGUUGCCUCAGCUUACACAGCACAAGCUUGUUUUAAAAAAGCUGUGAUCAUGUCAGCAAGCACGGCCUGUCACGUUCCUACCAGCCUCCUUCCAAAACCAGAGCACAGCCCAUGCUGACUGCCCACAGAGGUGGCCAGAGGAGGUGUGGUCAGGGGGUCCAGCCUACCCAGCUCCCUCACAGCCUGAGCGGGCAGGUCUGGGGCUGCUAUGGGGACAUGGCCAAGGAACAGCCACCUCAGCCCAACACAAUGGGCCUGGCAGGGUUUGGAAGCAGAUCUGGAGGGAUGCUGGGGCUGCUGGGGGGCUGCUUUCAAACUGUGCCAACUGGCUUUUGAAGCUUUUCUCUCUUUGAGCAAGCUGAAGGCAGCCCAGGCAGAUUUGCUACUUUCUGCCCCUUGAGCUAGUACCAGGAAAGAGGGAAGAGGGAUGGGAUCAGGGAGCAUGUGUCCACAGCUUUCCUCCCUAUAUCCCCCCAUGAGGAGCAACUGAGGCUCCCACAAGGGUGAGGAGGAGGCCAAAGAGUGGUUGCUUCUCCUCAUCACUGGAUUUCUGGCAGGAAAGCUGUUGGGGGAUUCUCAACACAGCUUCUUCUCUCUGACUCCCUCCCCAUUGAGAGCGAGUGAUGAAUGGGGAGGACACAAACCCUCCUGCACAGUGCUGCAGUGUCCUGCCAGUGUUCUCCAUCCUGUGGGCAGGCUCCUGGGACAUCUCUCCCACCAGAGUGGCUGUUCCCCAGUCCUGAUCCAGCCAGCCCUGCCUUCAUGUCCUACUCAGCCUGAGCAACCCACAGACCUGCCCAACCUAGGGCUGAGAAGGGCACACCCAUGGUAAGAAUAAGGUUUAAUGAAGUCACAGCAAAACACCUCUCGGCUAACUCGCCCUGCCUAUGAAGAUACCCAUUUCCGCAGGCUGUGAAACAUGUAAUGUGAAAAAAUGGUUGACAAAGUAAUUUCAGUGCUGGCUGUGGUUUUCCUAGUCAGACAUGAACAUGGUAGGCAGCCCAACCCUUUGCUCCCCAAAUGUGGCAGCUGCUGAAAAGCUUUCUUUAUUCUGAAAAGAAAAAAUAUAUAUAUAUUCCAAGCCUCCAAUUUAAAUACACAGAAAUCCAGAUGGGAGAAGUGUUAGUUUGAAUUUACACGUAGGGGAUAAGGAGAAGAUCGGAAGAUAAAACCCGUAUUUGCUUUUUCUGAGUGAAUUAUAUGAUCAAGUUAAAAAAAAAAAAAAAAAAAAAAAGGAAAAAAAAAGAUGUAUUCCAGCUGCAAACACUUUUACUCCUUCUGAAAACAUAGCCUACGUAGCCAUGAAUGAGGUGUUUAGUAAGCUCUGACCAUAUUAGAAUAUGUGCUAGAGGAAAGUGCUAAGAGGAAAAAAAUCACUUUGUUAGCUGAGCCAAGUGAGGUAGCCAAACUCAACCUGAGAGCAUUUCUGCAGAUAUCCACUGGGAUGUUACACGCCCAGUUUUCAGUAUGAUGCAUGUUCAACUGCAGAGCAUCAGCAUGUGCAACAGAAGCCGCUUGGUUGAGCUGGUGCAAGGAGAGCAAGAAAUGGCAGGCGCGUGGCUGCUUAGGUCCUGCAGCAUGGCUCCCAGCCUUCAGCCAGGCUGUGUCUGCUGAGGAUGCAGUCAAAAGUGGGCUGCUCCAGCGUGGAACCAUCUCAAUGGACCCCACCUGCAUCUGAACUUACAAGUGGAAGCCCUGCCGCGUCUCUGCCAGCUUCACAUGAGCUGUGGCAAGGAGAGCUGCUCCCAUGGCUGCUAAGAGAUGUGCUGAGAGAGGUGGGGGGAAACCUUGUCAUCAUUUUUUUUUUUUUGUGCAGUCACUAUUUUCUUGUGAAUGAUAGUAACAGUUCAGCCUACAAAGCUGAUGUAAUUGUGAAACUUUCUUUCAGCGUCACUGUUCAAAUGCCCCUGCGUGGAUGUUUUAAAGCAGACCGCUUUAACAGCAGUGUGGCUAUACCUAAUGCCCUUACGUAAUCUUCUUCUUUAACUUGUUUUUUCACAUAUAUAGUGUUAUGAGAAUGUUAUAAGAAUCUGAAGGUUCUUAUAAAGCUCGUUGUUGCAAUCACUGUUUCCAUUUCUCAUCUUUGUAACUGUUGGCGAGAUUUAUAAAGUCAGAAUUUCCCAAAGCAAGAUGCUUCUGCAAGUCACCUAUUCAGUCAGGACGUAACAGAUACCCCUUUGUCAGUAGCUGAAUGAAUAGACUGAAGCAAACUUCAGCUGAAUGCACUGCCCAGAUUCCACAUCUUUUCAGAGGAAUAAGAAGCUUCUGGCAGAUUCACAUCCAGUUGGGAUGAGAGGAAGGGUCAUAGGGAUGCAAUAUAAGGACUAUUCUGGCAAAGCCAUUGCUCAGAGUUCAGGCAUGCAAGCCUACUGCUGGUGUUUGCAAGACUGUGGUGUCAGAAAGGCUUGAGCAGACCGUAUGGGUUCGUGGAGUCACCUUGCUCUUCUCUUGCAUGUCUUGGCCUCUGCAGUACAGAUAUGAGAACCUGGGAUCUGGGCUGAGGGCAUGCAUUUUAAGAAGAUUCUUACUAUUAGGAAGGUCCCAUCAAUGGCUGGGGUGGAUCAAUUGAAGGUUUGCUGGCCACCACUGGGAAUAGGAGUGAAGAAAAGGGCAUGGCCCAAAGCAAAACCCUGGUAACCUGCAAACGAGCCCAUCAUUCUAUCUCUUAGCCCUAUCAAUUGCCACCAGGUAUCACUUUGGUGAGAGAGGCAGAAAAGGCAAUUGGGCUCAACCUGCAGCUGCCUGUUGGGAUUCUGAAUUGGGAAAGUUCUAACUCUUGUUUCAUGCAAGUAAGCAUAGAGGAAGGAAGGCAGCAAAGGGUUGGUUGGGAGGUGUAACUGUUUCUGCCCUGGGUGUUUGAGGUCAGAUCUGCAGAGGGAUCCGGCCUGAGCUACAUGAAGUCCCUGCUUGCUGCCCUGCUCAGCGCACCACUGCUGCCCCAGCCCCUGCCAUGCAGACAGCCUGUGUCAAGGUGCAGAGCUCUGGGGAAAAUUACCACCUGAUGAUCUUACAAAGUCCCUUCCCAUCUGGGCUGUUCUGUGAUACCCAUGAGCUGUAGACUUCAUGGCCUGGUUUCAUCAAUAAAGCCAAUGUCUGGUAGAAAUACAGCUGAGACCUUUUGCUUCUUCAUGCAGCAGCUUUCUGAACCUGGCACACUGUACUUGGACCUCUCUCUUUUAUGUGCUUUGUAUUCUUCAUCCAAGCUAGGCAUAUCACUUUGACUCCUUCCUCCCAUGGGACAGGAUUUUAUUGGCUUGCAGAUUGCAUUUGCUCCUACACAGAUUUCUUGCAUGCAAAUCAAGAAGUUGAGAGGAAGACAAUGUAAUGAAUAUGCUAAGCAUAGAAAAGUGGUAUAUUGUUACGGUGACACUACAGUGUAUUUAAGGCAGAAAACAAGUGAAUAUAAAUACCCCAAAAACAGCAGUUCUGCAUCAAAACAUAGGAAGACAAAUGUGAGGUUGAAGAAAUGAAAAUUCUACUGAAAACAAAUGAUUGUCUUAAAAUAUUUACUGAAAAACAGUGGCUAUAAUCGGUUAAUUGUUAAAAAAAAGUGAAUUUCUGUAUUUUGAACUCUUCUUCACUGUGACAGGUUCCUUCUUUAGAACAUGGAGAAAGGCACUGCUAUACAGCAUGGAGAGGUGGACAUUUCAAAACAAAAGUGCAAGGAAGGUUAGGAAAAGGUUCUGCCUAACAAUUUGGUCAUGACAAUGUAUAAAGGCUUAAUUACAGGGGUUUAUCCACUUUGUCAGUACAGAUUUCCACUUUUCUUAUGGCCAAGCCUCAAACAUUAACUAUGUGAGUCUAUCCCCUUCUCUAUGCAUUGCUGUGCCUCUGGACUACAGUGUAGCUGGAAUAUGUUUCUGAGGGAACUGGUGUAAUUCAUCUUAUGGGUGAGGGGCAGCUACCUGCUGAGUCCACACUGCACAAUGCCUGGGCACCGUCAAAGAAUACAAAGGGCUCUUAAACACCACAUCCCCAGUGCAGCUUCCAUUUUAAGCUUUCCCUGACUUCAGCAGUAGGGUGGUUCUUCUCCACAACACAACGUACCUCACCAAGAAACUCAAUUCUGCAUUGUCGCAUCGUUCAUAUGUAUUUUGCAUCUUUAUGUUGGAGAUAAUUGCUAAUAGAUUAAAGUGAGCUCAUACAAUCACUAAAAUCACUUAAAAGGCAAUAAAAUCAAAUGGAACUUACAGAAGUAGCAGCCCAACCCUCUACUCACUGUAGCCUCUCAAAUGGAGGUAAGCAAAACACAGAUUAUUGUUUUUUCUCUCUCCUUUUUUUUAAAUCAUUACACUCAACACACUCCUGAUCAUCUUUGUUCCUGUGAAGCUGAGUCUUUUCUUGCAUUUGGUAACCAAUGUCAGCGUUUCUUUCCUCGAGGAUUCCUAUCACACCAAAAGCCAAAGCAAAACUGGACUUCAGGGCAAGUUUUGCCUGACUAGGAAUUUUGGCCACUAUGUGUGUGCGUGUGCACGCUGUGUAUUUGUGUGCAUGUGAGUGUGUGUGCCUACAUUGUAAACAUAUAUAUAUAUACAUGUCAAUCUGUGAAAAUGCAUAAUUUCUUGGCUCUCGUCCUAACCUUUGUGCAACUGGGUGCCGGGAUCUGGAUAUUCAGCGUGCUUAGCAGCACUUUUUAAUGAAGAGGUGUUUUCUCCCUUGGAGCUGUCAUUCUCUGCCACAUCACAGACUCUUUCAGACAGAAAAAUAAUUGGCCACUUUCUUAGAGCGUGGAAUCGGAGAGCCCCAGGGACUGACGGAGUGCUCAGCGAACCGGGAUGGUGCCUUGCUGUGGCGCCCACUAGUGUCUCCCUGCCCUGUGUGGAUGCUCCCUGAGGAGGACCUUGCCAUCCACCUGGCACCUGAAUCCGGGCUGGUAGAUGGUGCAAUGAAAUGGGGCAGGCGAGACUCAAAUCCCUAGAAGGAGAAAGACGAAAAGAAAUGGACAAAUAUUUCCAGAACUGAUCAGCUACUAAGUGGAAAU